GCAAACUUGAUACCAUAAUUUAUAUUGUCGCUACAGCCGCCCCAGUCAAAGUCUCCUUCUUUAUCUCUCGCCCGGCCUCUCUUGUGGGUGUCACAACUGCAAAUCUUCAGCUCUCCUUGACUGCAUGCUCUGGUGAUGGCAUAAACCACACCUGCAGAGGAUAUUGCAUAAACGAAUGCUGCUUCACGGCUACCUGACAGAGGAGAAAACGUGCUGCAGUUCCAGCGAUGGUGUCGGAACUGGUGCUGGCAUUCUCGGAUCCACUCUUUGGCUCCCUCUCCGAUGGAUUGCAUGAGAUCUGGGUGUCUUUGGCAGAGUUGCCUCUGCUUGUUCACCAGCCCUGGAAUGUUGUCACAUAUGACCCGUGCACCUAACGCACCAAUGUACCUGCAGAAACAAACAGAGUCACAUUUGUUGACUAUUGUAUCUGCUAAAUGAAUAAAUCUUAUGUAUAAAUGUCCAUUACUAUUGAAAUAGUUGGCCAAUGUCUUGUGAUUAUAAAUCAAUUUAAUGCAUAAUUAUUGAAUCAAUAACGUGUGAAACUGACUUUAUUGUUU